CCGGGGUGGAGGUAAUGUCUGGGAAACUGCCUGAUGAGGGGGAGUAACUACUGGAAACGGUAGCUAAUACCGCAUAAUGUCGCAAGACCAAAGUGGGGGACCUUCGGGCCUCUUGCCAUCGGAUGUGCCCAGAUGGGAUUAGCUAGUAGGUGGGGUAACGGCUCACCUAGGCGACGAUCCCUAGCUGGUCUGAGAGGAUGACCAGCCACACUGGAACUGAGACACGGUCCAG
rnacentral:rRNA from 1 species